rnacentral:lncRNA from 1 species
UUCUGUGGCAGCUAUACUUGAAGUAUCCUAUGGUCUCUUUGCCAACAUUGUCUGGUUUAGCUCUCUGUUGACCUUGUCCAUUUUCUCCCUGCAAAUAGUAUGUAGGAAGCUCUGCUGCUUAAUAAAUUCGCUUCAUAGAAGCCAUUAAUCUAUGCAAAGCCUAACCUUCUUUAUUUUUCCCUUUAUCAUCUUUAUUUUUCAUCCCUGUUCCUCCCCCUCAACACCUUGCUAUUCAGGACCCUUAUUCCUGAAGGUUCAGGUCAACUUUUGGAGAACAAAAAUAAAUAAUAGUAUGGUAUAUAGUCAGAUUUUCAUUACUAAGAUUGUAUGUGUGAGAGAAGUAAAGUAGAUGAGAAUAGAAAGAAGUAUAAGAUAGUGUUUGAAAAGAAAAAAUAGAGGACAUGAACUUAGCUGUGACAAGUACACUGGCACAGAAUUUAGAGAUUAAGAUGGUGGAGAGUUCUAAUUAGGAAAUUAAGAGGGGGCUAAGGAUAAGAUGAAGAAAAACAAAGGAAUAAGAAGGGAAGUAUAUGAGACGUGGGUGAAAGUAGAGAUAGCAUUACAGUGAACGCUAUUGAGAAGCCACAGCAAUACUAAAACCUAACUGAGCUAUAGAUAGACAGAAGAUAAGCCAUCAUGAGAGGUAUGGAAGAGUUAAUAUUAAAUAACAGAAAAGACGAAAUUUAAAGAAUACUUAUGGAAGAAGUUGAUGGUGCUGCUAUACUGUCCAAACGGAGAAGUUCUCAGAUUCUAGAGUCAAAAAGAACCCACUUGGUGCUAUGUGGAAGGGGAGAAUGGAAACCACAGGUCUCUAAAGUUUCUGAGCAGUUCUGACAUGGGGAGAAGAGGAGGAUAAAAUCCUUUCCUGGUAAUUCUGAGAGGACAGAGUUAGCCAGAGACAGGCUGACUCCACGACAGCCU